CCUAGGCUAGCAAUUUAAUUAAUUAGAAAUGACAACUCAAUUAAAACAUGAUAUGUCAGCAUAAUCCGGUGACCACGUAGGCAUUCUCCUCACCGGAGCUUAGGUCCGGCCAGGUUAUGGAUACGUUUGUCAGAUUUUAAAAUCAUCCAGGUACCAUUUUGUCGUUAACAAUAGUCAGGUACUGCAAUGUCAGCAUUUUAAUCUUUCGGGUACUGAUUUGGUCAUUAUCUCUUGUUGUCUUGUUGGUAGAUGCUGAUGUAAUAUGUGGUGGAGCUUGGGAAUUCUGGCCGCUAGAGCUUAUGGCUUGCCUCAAUUUCGACUGCAAAUAUUUUUAUGGGGUGUUAAACCUUCUGAGGUAUUCUAAUGUUUUUGUUGUAGUAUCUUUCAAAAUACAGUUAUCAUGGUUAUUUACAUAAAAAGAAAAUAUUAUUUUCAUUCUUAUAUUUUAGUGUUGAAUUUCAAAUUUGAGUUAAAUUAUUAUUGUUCUUUCUACAUGGUUCCAAAGCUGUCUCAAUUCCCUCUUCCAACUCAUGAUGUUAUUGUCAGGGGUGUUAUUCUUUUAGAAUUCGAGGUAUGUGCAAGUUUUACAUAGGACUUAUGUAACUGUGUUUUGAAUGGUAAGCUAAUUUUUUAGAGGAGUUUAUUAGUCAUGGCAUGGUGAUUAAUUGGCAUGUUCAUUGAUUUCAACCAGCCAUAGGUUUGUUGGUAGUUAUUUACUAUUAAAUUGUUUGGAGUUAGAAAAUCUAUUUUAUAAUUUGAAUGCUAAAUGGAUGAUUAAGUCUCAUUUUUUCUAUUUUUUAAUUUAAAAAAGUAUUGCAAAAUCUCGAAUUAUAAUAUAUUGAAGCCCUUAAAAAAAUUUAUUUACUUGCAUAUAAAUACAGUUGCACAUGAUGAAGGUCACCAUAUUACAAUGGAAAAAAAUAACUUAUAUUGGAAGAUGCUACUUCUGACCUUUCUCUGGUUACUUGUUGUUUGGUCACUGGUGAAUAUGGUUGAACUGCAAACAUGUGGAGAGAAUUAUGAAGGCUCAGGCCUUGAGAGAUAACGGUGUGACUGGCUACAUAUCUAGUAAGAAGACUAUGGAGAUCAAC